rnacentral:lncRNA from 1 species
AAAAUCUUUCCGUUGCUUCCUUUCUAAGUUCCACUAAUCCAUGUUCGUUCGAAAGCAAGGAUAAAACUUUCGAUCAGAAUCUCCCUAUAUCGAAGAACCAACAAAACGCAUCACAAUCGCAGGAAACCAGAAUCUCCCUAUAUCGAAGAAAUCACAGGCAAGAGACUAAGACGCAUGAAAAUUCAACGCGCUUUUCGGAUUCAACACUCUUGAAGAAUGGAUGAAAGACAGAGUAGAUAACAAAACCCAGAAAGUCGUGGUUGCUUCCGUAUCCACUGCGCCAACCAGCAAGACUAACUCCACAAGUCUUCGGGAAGGUAUUGUGGAUACGUUUUUCUCUCUUGUCCCUUCUCCUACUUACAUCAAGACCGCUACAGAAAAUGACAGCCACAAACAACCAAAUUCGUCAUGAUGUUUUACUAAAUUAAAUUCCAAGGAACUAGGAUAUUCUUUUCAGCUAUGGAUCCGUUCAGCGUUCACACGAAUAAGUAGACCCGAAAGCGAGACAGGCCGGACACGAAAGACCAAUCAUGUUUCACGACGCUACGGGUGAACACUGAACAGUCGAUCCUUUCCGUAAUGUGUGUGGUUCAGAGGAGUUUCGAGGAUUUUUGAAUAGUAUCAUCGUGACGAUAAUGGUUGAAGAGUCAAGGGGUCAAAGUCUUUCUGGUGGUGGUCAUUGGGGAAGUUGGGAAGGAAACUCCCUAAUAGGCCACGGAAGUCUUUAAGCCAACCAAUCAAACAGUGUGUAUCAAGCAACUUUUUACAUGGUUAGUUUCGACUAGUCUUCCGUCUCCUAAUUUCCAAGUCAACUGGCGUGUUAAACAGCCAAUUUUUUUGAUAUAUUGCAAACAAAGAAUUCUGAACCUCUAAACAAUUCAACACUCUUGUUCUGAAGAGGAGGAGUAGAUUUUCUUAUUGUUCUUCCUUUGCGGCGCUUUCUUCUUGUUGAUCAGCUGGGAAUUUUCGGAUGGCUCCGGUGGCUUUGUUUAUUCUUGCCAUUCUUGCUCACCUUGUGGUUCUGCACUCUGCUCAUUCAGCAGAGGAACGCGCCAAACAUUGUCCAGUCCACUUCUGCGGCUCAGCAGGCGACAUCAGCCUCCCCUUCAAAAGCAUGGAAGAUCCUCCUGAUUGCGGAAUGUUCACAGUCAAUUGUUCAGACACCGAACGGCCAAAAAUCCAAUUGAAAGAGGGAGGAUACUGGCAUGAAUUCCAAGGCUCUUUAUUUUCACCUUCGAUUUCUAUCAAUGACAGAGACCUUGCCGACCGCUUAGAAAAGGAUCGCUGCGAUGAUGGAGUUUUGGACGACUUGAGUCUUCCUAGCGCUUCUCCAAUCCUUGAAGUACCAUUAUUCACACACAAUUUGACCCUUUUCAAAUGCAACACCACCUUAGACAAAAAUUCUUACCCACAACUUAAUUAUGGCUGCGGAAAUGAUAACCAUACUUAUUAUACCGCUUCAUUUAGCAGUAGUUUACCUAACCCCCAGCUGCUAGGGUGUUCAACCAUUCAGGUCCCCAUGCGUCCGUUUAAACCCAAGAACUUAUCUUCAUUGACUGCUGAGUUUAACCUGGAAACACCAGAAUGUUUUCAAUGUAUUGAAAGCAAAGGUGAAUGCCAGGUUGAAGAGGGAGAAUUUAAAUGCACCAAAGGUAUACAUUUACAUGACCUUUCUUUCUUUCUCUGACGUGCAAUAAUCCGAUUCCUUUCUUCAAAGGAUAUAACUCUUAGAAACAGGAAACAGUUUAUUGAAACACACAAGUAUUAAAUGAUUGUUAUGUAUGCAUUAGCCUCUUCUUGUUCUUCGAAUGGUAACAUUAUUUAUGCCAUCUUCUGUGAUUUAGCUAACAACAGUUUUUUUUGCAAUUCAUGUUGCAGGAGAUAAGCAGUUGAACCUGAAGCUAGGACUAGGUAAGAUUGAUAUCUCCGCAUUUAAAUAUCUAAUUGAUAUGGAUACUCAUCUAGGACAAGCGACAGAAGGACAGAAAUCAAUCAUUCUCCAAUGGCUCUGGAUUAAUUUUCUAAGAAUCAUGGGAAUGAGCAAGCGUUUAAACAUGUUGCCAAAGUCAAUUGAUUGCUCUCCGUAACAUACCUUCGACCAAAUUUAACUCUCCUUUAAGCACCCCCAGUAUAAACUCCAUUUUAACUGUCUCUCCCACUUGUAUUCUGUAGGAAUUGGCCUUGGAUUUCCAGCACUUCUUGCUAUAUGCGUGUGUCUUCUGUUGCUUUACAAGAAAAAACGCUCUUCACUCUUCCUCUCAAGGAACAUUUCUUCUCAGCCAUACACAAAUUCCGACAUAGAAGGGGGCGGUGCCUACUGUGGUAUCCCGGUCUUCAGCUACAGUGAACUCGAUGAGGCAACGAACCACUUUGAUAGCGAAAGCGAACUUGGAGAUGGAGGUUUCGGAACUGUCUACUAUGGUAAGAGCUAAUCUUCUAUAUAUGUGUUAAUUUCCGAAAAAAUAAAAGAAAUCAUUUACAUUAGGCAAGUAAAGAGGAAGUUAAGUUGCAUAGUAUCUGCAGCAGCUUACUCUUUGAUCAAUCCAAUAUAGGAAAACUCAAAGAUGGUCGGGAAGUUGCAGUCAAGCGCUUAUAUGAGCACAAUUACAAACGCGUUGAACAGUUCAUAAAUGAAAUUGAAAUCCUCACCCGUCUGCGCCACAGAAACUUAGUCUCCCUUUAUGGCUGCACCUCACGCCGCAGCCGUGAACUCCUCCUUGUUUACGAAUACAUUUCCAAUGGAACCGUUGCUGAUCAUCUCCACGGAGACAGAGCAGAUGGCUCACUCACUUGGCCUAUACGUAUGAGCAUCGCCAUUGAAACCGCCGACGCAUUGUCCUACCUCCAUGCUUCUGAAAUUGUACAUCGCGAUGUGAAGACUAACAACAUUCUGCUCGAUGACAAUUUCUGCGUUAAAGUUGCAGAUUUUGGCCUCUCCCGGCUCUUCCCCAUUGAUGUCACGCAUGUCUCAACCGCUCCACAAGGGACACCGGGUUACGUUGAUCCAGAGUAUCACGAGUGUUACCAGCUAACUAGCAAGAGUGACGUUUAUAGUUUUGGAGUUGUUCUCAUCGAGCUCAUAUCAUCGCUUCCGGCAGUUGAUAUAAUGAGGCACAGGCACGAAAUUAAUCUGGCUAACUUAGCCAUAAGCAAAAUUCAGAAGGGUUUGUUCAACGAGUUGGUAGAUCAACGUCUCGGGUUCGAAUCCGAUGGUGAAGUUAGAAGGAUGAUCAUUGCAGUUGCAGAGUUGGCUUUUCAAUGCUUGCAGCAGGACAACAAUGUGAGGCCUACCAUGAACGAGGUUUUGGAGGCUUUGAAAAUGAUCGAAAGCGGGAGUUAUGUCCCUGAGAAUUUAAAGCCGGAACCGGACAGUGAGAGUGUGAAAACGAGUGUACAGCCGCCAGCUUCGCCAGAUUCUGAUGAGAUCGGGCUGUUGAACGUGAGACCUCCGCCUUCGCCGGUUUCCGUCACGCAAAAAUGGCCUAGCACUAGGUCUACUUCACCUAAUGCUAGUGCGUGACAGUUUUCUUUUUUUGUGUGUUACUUUUCAGUAUAAAGAAUAUAUAUGAAUGCAUUUUAGAUUUGAUUAGGUGGGUAAAAGGGCGAACUCAAGCCAAUAACGCUUCCCGUUUUGCAAGGGUCAAGAGGGGAUAACAUCUAUCGUACAUAACUUUAACUUUCUCUUGUAAAGAUGUUGUUUCUACGACUCGAACUCGUGACAUUUCGGUCAUAAAAGAACAACAUUUCCGUUGUACAAGAGUCGCCAUCAUUGAAAAACACAUCUAAUUAGUACUUCUAGGUAAAAGCUUGAGGGAUUUCACCUAGUGCUAGUGCGUGACAGUUUUCUUUUUUGUGUGUUACUUUUCAGUAUAAAGAAUAUAUAUAUGAAUGCAUUUCAGAUUUGAUUAGGUGGGUAAAAGGGCGAACUCAAGUCAAUAAUGCUCCCCGCUUUGCAAGGGUCAAGAGAGGAUAACAUCUAUCGUACGUAACUUUAACAUUCUCUUGUAAAGAUGUUGUUUCUACGACUCGAACUCAUGACAUUUCGAUCACAAAAGAACAACAUUUCCGUUGUACCAAGACUCGCCAUCAUUGAAAAACACAUCUAAUUAGUACUUCUAGGUAAAAGCUUGAGGGAUUUGUACAUAUUAGAUGGAGACAUUGUUAUUAAUAUUCAUAUUUUAUAUGUAUAAUUUUGAUCCUGUAUCGUUUUGACUCUUCAUACUUGCGUUGAAGUCUAUGUCUUUUUCCUUUCUGCUUCUUCUGAUAUUGUUUAUUAACCAAGUUUUGAUUGUUUGACAUGAUCAAACACCUCCUUUACUGAUGAGUAUAUUUUAUAUUAUAUAUUUUACCCUAAUUUUAGUAUAUUUUGGUUAAUAUUUUGAAAGAAUUUUGAUACUUUGAAUUGUAUUUUCAAUAAAGGACUUUCGACUUCCUCUGAAGCAAAACAAGAUCAAAUGGACGAAUUUUGGAGAAAUUCCAGUUGGAAGACGUUCGUGAGUCACUUAGCUUGAUUGUAUCAAAAUCUGGGAUUUUUCCACCAAGCGGUUAUUUUCUGGCGAUAAAAUAAAGGAGCGAUGCGCAGUGCUGGAAAAUAACGUUUUUGGGCUUAAAUUGCGUUUUUGGAGCCCAAGAUGACCUCGGAUGGGUUCGUGGCCUUCUGGAGAAGUGUUCAAAAUAUUUCAAACAUUAAAUUCAGCUAUAUUGGGCUAGUUUUGGAGCAGCUUAUGGGUCCAAAACGUGGCUGUUCAGAUUUUGGACGAAUUUUAUCAUUUUAAUUUAGGGUUAUGUUUUUUUAUGGGGAUUAGGGUUUGGUGGUGGUUUAGGAAAUAUAUUGCUUGGCCGUCUACCAUAUGUCGGGACGCUUUCUUUUAUGCAAUUUUGGAGACAGAGAGAAUUGCUAGGGUUUUGAAGAUUUUUGACUUGAAGGUGUUUUCAAUCCUUUUCUUAAUAAUAUUUUCUAUGAUUUCAAUUAUGAAUAUGCGUAACUAAUUUCUUUUGCCUGGGCGAAGCCUUGAGCCUUAGCAUGAAUAUGUGAUUUUUAUUUAAUUGCUUAUGAUUGAUUGCAUGCAUACUUUGAAUUGUUAAUCACCGGGAUAAAAACUAUCUAAUCGUCUUAAUACCUGAUCACCAUUAAGAUCUUUAGAAAAGUAAUUUGAUGCAAUUUUAGUCAGAAUGUUCCCUGAAAUUGAUGUUAGCUUCUUACAAUUAAUAAUUGUAAUUUCACUUUAGAAAAGUAAUUUGAUGCAAUUUUAGUCAGAAUGUUCCCUGAAAUUGAUGUUAGCUUCUUGCAAUUAAUAAUUGUAAUUUCACUUAGGAUGAACACCACGUCUUAAGGGUUGCUUGGUUUUUCAAAGGAUUUUCAUAAAGCAUAAUGAGUAUUUCAUGUUCAGAUUUGAUCCGAACGUCCGGACGGGUUGCAUGUUAGAUAUACGUUAUAUGUUGGAGGUUCCAAGUAGAAUAUGAAUUAGGAAAAUCUAACCUUCAAAGUGGCAUGUGUAGAUCAUAAGUAAUUGGUAAAAGUUCAUAGGAUUUCUAGGUGAUGGUGAAACCCUAGUGCUUUCUUAAUUUUAUUUCUCCCAAAAUUGUUUUCUUUUCCUUCUAGUUUUCAAUAUUGCAAAUUGUUUAUUUUAAUUAAUUAAUUUCGUUUUUAUUUUAAAUAGGUUAUAAAAUCAAUCACCUCAAUUUAUACUUUACAAUAACUAAUUGGAAUUUGGUUUGCUUCAAAUUAUUUAAUAAUCCCUGUGGAGAAUGACCUUGCGAGAUCUGUUUAUACUACAACAACCUUGUGAUUCUUGCAAGUAUAAUAGGAGUUUUUAGCCCAUUCACAUGAGUAGUAAAAUCCCUAUCAACAGGAUAGUAAAGCUGACAUAAAUGACAAAAUGUUUUACAUUUGUAGAAUUCUAAAUUACUCUAAUUUAUGUAAAAAGAAUUUAAACUUGAAUACUCUGGUCUAAACUAUGUUAAAAUAUUAGAACUAGUAUUUCAUCAAUCAUUUAUAAUACAGUAAUGCUUCUAAAAUUGGAUUUUUCAGAUGUUUGUUUGGUAAAAAGAAUUCACAUUGCGUUGGUGAGGGUUAGGGUAAUGACAACAUUGUUGUUCUUGUUCAAGAAACCUAGUGUGCAGGCUACAGCCUAGAAAAUUGAUUUAGAAAUACGGGCCACCUAACUUGCAGGCUAGUUAGAUAUUAUAUUUCAGAACUGGAUUUCCUCCGGAUCCAAUAAAACUGAGCUUGCUGAGUAAAUGAUUCGUGGUGUUGAAAUUUGAUCUACAAUUAUUAUAACUUUUAAAGGACCCCAUGUUUGUAAUCAUUGAAUCAAAUUUCAACGGUCUGGAUCCUCUGCUCAGCUCAGUUUUAUUAGGUCCAGAGGGGAUCCGGUUCCUUAUAUAUCCAACAACAUCCUCUUCGGAGGCUUUUGGUGAGGACCUUAGAGAUCCGUAGAUCGUGUAUCGUGCGAUCAAUUUUUAUUAGGUGCUGUUUGUGUUUAAUUUUAAAUAAAAUAUUUAAAAUAAUUUUUAACCACACAUAAACAGACACGAUUCGUAAAUUCUUAGAAUCCUUUUAAAUAGAUUCAGCAAGGAUCCAAAUUCAUUACAUAUAUAUAUAUAUAUAUAUAUAAUAACACACUGACAUAUAUUUUAAUUUUCUUACCCGACAAAGUUUGCUAGUAAUAUCGUUACAGUGUCCUUACCAAGAAGUAUGAUUCUCUUUCCUCUUUUUUUCCUACUCUUAUUUACCCUCUUAAUUGAACGGUCACAAUUAAACUACGUAAAUAUCUUAUAUUAAUUUUUUAUAAUAAUAAAAAGACAAAAUAAGAGAAUGUGAGAUAAAAUGAUGAAAAAAAAAGAAAAAAAAAGAGAAGAUAAUCCUCUUCCCUUUACCAAUUCUCCUGGUUAGACCUGACCUUUCAAUCUUCUUCAGUCAAAGUAUGAGGUGGUGUCGCCUCUUUUUCAGAACCCUAUAUAGAUUUUCAGAUUUUGGAUUCAGCACAUUUGGAAUUUCACUUGGAAAAUGCACCCACUUUCUCUCUCUUUUUAAAAUUUGUGAAAAAAGAGAAAAUUACCAAUCAUUACUUGUCAAAUUUAUGAAGAGAUUUCUUAUUAUGCUUAGAACACCAGACCGCAGAUUAUAUGUUAAUAUAUAAUUAACAAAAAUUUGUUCAAAUAUUUUUUUAAUUAUAUAAUAAUAUAUGUUGUAUCGUCUCGUAUUGUAGACAGAAAAAUUUGUCUAAUUUAUUGAGAGAAAGGAAACUAUUCCUGAACUUGCUCCCACCUCACUUUUUUGACAUAACAUUUUAUAAUUUUGACACGAAAUUAACGUUAAACACGUUUCAGAAAAAGCAUAAAGAGUCCCAUCUAAAAUUAGAGUGUACUUAGCAUUUUUCAAAAAAGUGUGUAUAAAAAAUAUGCAUCCACUUCCCAACAUAUGCUUUUCUCCAUUUCACAAGCAAUCAAUUGUGUCUCAGUCUCUCCCCUGUAAUCAUUCUCCAGUUUAAAUUCAAAUAUUCACCCCAAAAUUCACAUGUAUAUAUAUAGAGAGAGGAAUGGGAGUUAGCAGCAGCAACAGACCUCAAAUCCAAAAGAUGGGGACUUUACAGAAAUUCAAGCUCCUCGCCACGCAGUGCGGCGUGGCCCAGAGCCCGACGCGAAGCCCGCGGACGAGCCCGUUGAUCCAGUUCCGCCGCCGCAAACCCACCUUGCUGAUGCUCCUGACCCGGAGCAGCAGUCGCCGCCGUGACCCGCCUGUUCCGAUGCCGCUACCGGAGAAGAUUCCGCUUCAGAGGAACAGUUUGAAGGACCUGUUCGUGUCGUCGCCACCAUUUGAGUUGAACGACGGGAGAAAGGCGGAGAGUGAGAGAGAUAAGCGGGUAGAGUCGGGUAGUUUGUUGGUGGUAGGUAAAGAAAUUGGUGGAGUUGGACCGGGCUCCCCUAGGCCGGCGUGGACCGGUUUCCGUUACAAGUCGUUACUGAGAAGGGCUUGGCGCCCUGUGCUCGUCACUAUUCCUGAGUAAAUUAAUUAAAUAAUUUAAUCUUCGUAAAAUAUUAUUAGAGUUUUUUUUGUUUGCUGUGUGGUCGGCCGUCUCUCAUGAUCCUGGUCCAAAUAUACCGAUACAAAUCGAUCUUGUAUUGCAUUGUAUAAUUUGUAGCUGCCGUCCUUGGACUCGUAGUUACAAGCAUUAUCGUACGUUCGACUUUAUGAUUUCGUUUCAAUUCUCCAUUUUUUCGUGCCAUUAUCGUUUGUAUUAAAAAAUAUUUGAACUCGUGAAAAACUGGAACCUCUCGCAAUAUGGGCAAAAGAAAUACGUUUGAAUUAGAACUACUUUGAAUAGAAACAACUUCCGAAAUGAAGGGGACGGAACAAGAACUAGAGGGAUCCACCGAAGACGAUCCUUCCCUUGUUUCGGAAGAAAAAGAGGUUCGAGACAAAAUCGAUGAAAUUUCAUUCAUUCGUGACCAUGCACGCCAUUACCAUCCUUUCGAGGUUCCUUUCUAAAGUUAAAGUGGCUAAAGAGGCCCAGGACCAUGAAUGUUGGGAGAACAGCUUACACUACACAUGCUAAAGCAAGUCUUCCCUUUGGGAAAAAGAAAAGUUGCAAAGAGCUCGAUGAUUUCGAAGGGACUUUUUUCAUCUAUUUUGUUAUUUAAUUCAAUUAUUACAGAAAAAAAUCUUACGAUCAAAAGGUAAAUUCAAAAAAAAGGUGGAGUCCUUCCAUGUCUUGCCGCUAGCGGCUCUUUGGUUCCAAGGGGGAUUGGAGUCUGAUUUGUUUGGGCUUGUGAUUGCCGCAGCGCAGAGUCAUUCCCCGCUCUCUCGGUACCUCCAUUUCCCUGGUGAGGUUCGGCUUGGCCGACAGAGUUAGGGUGGCCUUCUGAAUGCUCGUUUUCUAGAAGUACAACCCUCCGCAAGAACCUAUCUAUCAUCUCGUAACUGGUAAAUGUAAUAACGGCAGAUGGAGUGGUUCUUAUUAGAUUAGUAGCACAACCAUUAUAGAAUCCACGAAGGCCUUCCUUUUGGAACACCUUCUUUAUGCAGUCAAUUACUCCUGCAUACUGGGUUCCAAUGUGUCUGGCCUGCCCUUGCUCUUGCAGCCUCGAGCGCACAACCUGGAGAUAAUUGAUUCAGUCAGGACAACAAAAUAAAAUAUGAGAAAGAAAGACACGACUCUUAAGAGCAGUUUACUGAGAAGUUCAUGCUCAACAUACCUCGUGAGGGUAUGUUAUUACAGAAGCGAUUACUUUUGAUACCGAUGAGGCAAAGGCAACUCUACUAGGGUGUAACUUAUCAACAGUUGUAUUAUCUGAAAAGUUAAAUUUAUGGGGUCAGAUAUAAUUAAUUAAUUAAAAAACACUGAAUUUUCAAGUAAAACAGUUCAUCAAAGAAGUAAACAAAUAACAUUUACCCCUUUUUGCCAUGAAAGACUUUAUCUUUUCAUAAGCAGGAAAUUGAAUUGCAACAUGACUUACUCCAGCCAAAGAAGGCAAGAUCCCACUGUUUGAAACCACACAUGCAAACAAAGAGGUAUCAUUAAGGGAAACCACGCGAAUAAAUUUUAAUCUAAUCAAUUGAGCAGAAUUCCUUUCACCGAAUGGAAAAAAAUUCGAUCAGUAUUUAAGCAAUAUCAAAUAUAAAAUUCCCAGUUUAGUGUCAUAUCCACAUGAUGUAACUUGGAAAGAAAAAUGACCUAUAUAAACCUCGCAAGCCUUCCUCAGUUGUAAUCCUUGAGAAAGCAGAUCUCAUGCUUUUGUAAGGAAUCACACCAGGCCUCAUUCCUUGUGUCUAAACGAAGGUGAUCAAGAAGAAAAUAUCAAUGUACAAAAAUGACAAAGUUCAAACGAGCAAAAUUAAUCAGUGCGGAGUCCUUGAGAUUUUUCUAAAUCCAUGAGGGUUGAGUUUUAAGUCAGAAGGUAACAUGUAAUUAUGUGGAAGAGAUUCAUUAGCCUGGUUAGACAUUGGUUAAGCAUCAACCCCAAGAAUAAAAUAUGCCCGGACAUUUCUCAGAAAACCGUAAACACUAUAGGACCAUCUCUAGCAAAUAUGAGUCUGCAUAGUUGAACUAUUUACUAUCUUUUAUUCCCGAUUUUUCAUAGUUUACUUUCUCCUGACAUCUCAAGUCGAGGACAUGAUAGAAAAAACAACGUCUCCAGUCCCAGUCAAACAGAAUGCCAUAAAAUAACAGGUCAUUGUGCUAUAGAAAGCAAUAAAAUGAAAAUCUUAAAUGAAUUACAAACAUAAAAACAGUAAACUUACUUGAAGUCUGGUCUUAACAACCCACAAUGGAUUUGUUGAAAUGGCUGUGGCAGCCCCGGCACCAGCAGCAGCAAUCAUAUUUUCACCAAUUGUGAGUUCUCCGCUGCCAUGAACUACAGUAUGACCACAGUAAAUGUUUAAAAACUAACUGAAUACUAUUAUAUAUUACCCAAUGCUCUACACUAAAACCAAGAAUAUGGGAAUACUAUGCGUCUCAUAAGAAAUAAUUAGAGACAAACAUAAACUUUUAAGUAAGCCACAUUUGGAAAAACCAACCAUGAGAGUGGAGUAGGCCUUUGAGUUGCUCAUAAACUGUGAAGUACACCUGCAUACGAACAGAGUACAUAUGGCUCCAGGAAAAUUAUAAAAAGUAUACAGGAAAAAAAAGUAGCAUGUGAUCUGACCGAGGGCCCCAAAAUCUUUGUGAACUCAAGUUUCCACAAGAUAAGGGCUCUCAAAGAUUUGUUUCACAAUAUAAGGCAACAAAAGUAAUACUCACUGCCCAGUUUGGAAGUAGCGCUAGAAUUGUAGGUGAAAGGCCCCGGUACAUCCCCUUCACACCUUCUGUCUUUAAUAUUUUUUGUAGGCUCGUGACAAUGAUACUACCUGAUCAUAGGCCAAAAGGAAAACAAAGAAGAACAGUUAUACUGAUAUGUGUAAGUAUGAACCAUAUAUACUACAAAUAGAUCGAUUGGAAAAUAUCCUCGAAAUGGCAAUGAGCCAUAUAAAAAAUUUAUAGAACAAACACAAAGCCACCUGAAGCCGGUUCACCAAAUAACAAGAAAUGUGGCAUACAUCUGGUCAAUGCAAAUUUUCUCAUAUAUACGAAUACACUAGAGUUCACAAAACUGAAACUUUAAUCCGACUACAAUUCCUUUCCCCCUAAACAUGUGCUCCCAUAGUCCCAAUGAAUCUAAUAUCGUCAAAAAUCGAUACUUGCAAUCGAUAAGUUCCUUAAAAUAAAUAAAAACACAGAAUUUCAUCCCAGAAUUGAUAAACAAAGCAUAAUUUGUUCAAGGGAAUAAUAAAGCUUCGUCUCUGAAAAUUGAAGAAUACCUCUUUGACCAGAAGGCAUGCCAUGGACCUGCAGCCUAGUCUUGAUGACAUCUAAGGGGCAUACAAAUGUAGCCGCCAUAGCCCCUGCAAAGCUUACAGUUCAAUCAAUUUGCAAUAAAUUCAUCAGAUUUGCAAAUGCGUGCCCAAAUGAACGAAACCCUAGAAAUGGGAAUCGCAGAAGAGCAAAGGAGGAAGAUAACUGACCAGCGGAGGCGCCAGCACCGGCGUGGCAGAUGACAUCUCUGAUAGAUUGGCGAUCGGAAUGUUCGGCCACAACACCCAUCGUCGUCGAAGCCCUCUCUAGCCUCCCUCUAGAGCUGCUUCUUCAAACUCAAAUCAAAGGUAAUUUUCAUGGCCAGUCGCAGUGUGUGUAUGUAUAUACAUACAUGUAUAUAUACUGAUUUGAUAAGGGGGGGAGGGGGGAGAUUUGGGGUCGGAAGUUCUAAGGACUGUUGAGAGUCAGUAUUCUGGAGGUACGACGCCGUCGUCGUCGCCGCCUGACUUGUUUGAAGGGGGUUAAGUGGUGGAAAAUGACGUGUCAGGUACGCAGAGCUCUGCUUCGGAUUUGGAAUUUGGAAAUGGGAAAUGACGAGGAGGAAUCCGUCGAGGAAAGGAAACUAGAAAACUAGCAAAACGGCUAUUUUCUUUCUCGGAUAGGUUAAUUUCUGGCCAAAAAUAUAAGUGGGUGGGUGCAGGGUAUCGAUUAUUUAAAUCAAAUUUUGUAAAUAAUAUAUUGUAAUUGUUUAUGAUUGAAUUAUUAUUUAUAUUGAUGCAUUAUAUAAUUUGAAAUUUUGAUCGAAAAAAUGGCUCUACUUAACGUUAUUCUUCAAUUAAACUCAAUUUCUGGCUAAUAGGCAUGAAUGUGAUACACAUUUUAAGACCACUCAACAAUCAUCACUACAGUUCGAUGGUAUUUCUCUAGUGAAUUUUAAAUUCGGUUGUUAAUUGCGUACUUGAAGUCAAAAUAUUAUUGAUAAUUCUGUCACAUCCCGGCCCGGGACAGACCACUUCCCGGGCCUGCUCCACCACCGUAGCACGAUAUUGUCCGUUUUGGGCUUACCAUUCCCUCACGGUUUUGUUUUUGGGAAUUCACGAGCAACUUCCCAGUGGGUCACCCAUCCUGGGAGUGCUCUGGCCUCCUUCUCGCUUAACUUCGGAGUUCUUACGGAACCCGAAGCCAGUGAGCUCCCAAAAAACCUUGUGUUAGGUAGGGAUGAGAAUAUACAUUUAAGGAUCACUCCCCUGGGCGAUGUGGGAUGUCACAAUCCACCCCCCUUAGGGGCCUGACGUCCUCGUCGGCACACUUCCGCCCAGGAAUUGGCUCUGAUACCAUUUGUCACAUCCCGGCCCCGAGCGAACCACUUCCUGGGCCCGCUCCAUCACCGUAACACAAUAUUGUCCGUUUUAGGCUUACCAUUCCCUCACAGUUUUGUUUUUGGGAACUCACAAGCAACUUCCCAGUGGGUCACCCAUCAUGGAAGUGCUCCGGCCUCCUUCUCGCUUAACUUCAGAGUUCAUACGGAACCCGAAGCCAGUGAGCUCCCAAAAGGCCUCGUUCUAGGUAGGGAUGAGAAUAUACAUUUAAGGAUUACUCCCUUAAGCGAUGUGGGAUGUCACAAUUCACUAUUUAGUGUACGUUAAAUCGUAGUAUUUAAACAAAAAGAUAUUUCAUGAAUUUCUUCAAUUUACUUUUUGUUUUUGAAUUUUGAGAGCUUAUGAUAUUUUAUGACUAUUAUAACCUUUAAAUGUCAAAGAGUUUAAAAUUUAAUUUAAAAUCAAGGGCAUUAAUGUAAUUCAAUUCCAAUUUUAGAUUCUUCUCACAUUUCCCUACAUAUGCAUAGCAUUUGUAGAGUUUGCUAGUGUAAAUUUAUGAAAACAAAAUUUCGAUUUCAAGUACAUAAAAGUUCUUUUUUUUGGCUCGACAUAAAAUUUACAUUACUUUAACCAAUUUAACUUCCUCUAAAUUUUUCCCUAGUUUUAAAAUUUGUGAUGUGAAAGACAAAUAUGCAAAAGUAUGUUUAUUUUGUUUUUGUAUGCUGAGGUAGCCAAUGAUGGAUUUCAUAGCUUGAGAAAUUCUUGUCUAUUGACAUUGGCCUGCUUUACGAGGAGAGAGCGUUCAAUUAGAAAAUUUUCAAUUUGCUGAAAAUCGGAUUCAAUACAUAAAGUGUUAUAAUACAAGUAAUUAAGAUUUGAUAUUUCAAUUAUUAGUAUUAUGACACUUAUUGUAUCAGAUCGUAUUCUUGACAAACUGAAAAUUCUCUCGGAUCAACUAACUAUCUCAAUUAAAAAAAAAAGUGACUUUCCGACAAACAAACAAAGUGAUUUUGAUUUGAUAAUGCCACAUAUUUUUUCUGUUACAUUAUAACAACAAGGUUAUUAGGCUUUUCUUCUUCGCUUGGGUCCAAAGUCGUAAAGUCAGAGAGGCCCAACUAAUUAUGGGCUGACAUUCAAAAGGUUUAAAGAAUUCGGCCCAAAAAAGAGCAUGCCAAAAGCCUAGAAACACAGACCAAGUACCGGUUUGGUACUGAGAUACUUUUAUAAAAAGUGGGUAUAAAAAAAAACUGAGCUAAAAAAUGUAUUUGGUAAAUACUUAAAAACAGCUUAUUUUCACAUUUUUUUGUGAAAAAAAAGCUAAAAACGUGAAGCAGCAAAAAUGUGCUUAUUCUCACAGCACAAUAGAAACAGUUUUUUUUUCAAAGCACAUCAAUAACAAACCAGCUAUGAAGCACCUUUGGCAAAUUACUUUCACCAAAGAGCAUUUAUGCUAAAUUUACACAAGAUUAGAAGAACAACUUAACAAUGUCGACAGAACGUUUUGUGUCAAUCGUACAAUGUUAUAUAAAAAUACUCAAUAAUUAUAUCAGCUUAUUAGUAUGAGACGCCACAAUUACAGUAUUCAAAUUUCUUGUCAAUCAUAGAGGAAAUUAGACAAUAAUGAGAGUUAAAAAGGAAAAGUAAAGGUUUUGGUUUAGUGGGCUUAAAACCAUCACACACAAAAUCCCCUACCGGACAAGUUCACUUCUUGGGGUAUCUUUCAGCAAAGAUAUCAUGAUUUCGGGGGCCCAGGCGGGUACGCAGUGGCUUUCUGACCGUCUUACGUGGGGACGAGUGAAUUCGUAUCCUCGUCGGAUUUUCUUUACGAGGAUUUCGAAAAUUCAUAAAUCAUAUAUUUUUAUGGUAAAUAAUCCAAAAAAUUCAUGAAUCAUAUCCAUUUAUCGUACAUCGUAUAAUCAGAAAUCAUUUUAAAUAUUUUUAUUUAAAAUUAAAUAUGAACAGUAUUUGACAAAAACUGAUUACAAAAUGUUCGAUGAACUAACACGAUUUACGAAUUCUCAAUGUCCUCGUAAAAAAAUCCAGAAAAUAUCCUGUUGGGGGACGAGCAUGGCUGUAGGGCCCAGAUAGGCCCAUUCUCCCAGCCUGUACUUGCCCGGUUCCUCAAAACCAAAAAACUAUUUUCUAUUUUUAAUUUGGUAUUUUUCAAAAAUACCAAAAGGCAGAACAGUAUGUGAAUGUGGACGAUGGAUCCGAGGCACCAACUGGAAAAUUCCCAAUCUCAGUUUGGUAAGCGGUUGUUGAAGACACCUAUAAAUACAAGUUGGGGAAUAUUCUAAAGCGUGAUUAAUUUGAAAGACAUUUAAAGUGUCAAUUCAUAUUUAGGGAAUUUGUUCUUCAUCUGAUAACGAAGGAAAAGACAUAAACAAAAAAUUCGGUAAGAUUAUCUGAUUAUGACUACUCUCACACUAAAUAAGAUCUAUGCGAGUUCAUAAGACUAAAAUUUAUAAAGUUUCAAGCAUUUGCGGAGGUGUCCUACGAGGCUACGAAUAACGUGAUCGGAAAUGCUUUCUAUAAGUUUUUCUCCCAUUUAUCAAUCGAGUACUUGGUAAUGGAAGAGCUAGCACAUGAUCAUUGAUUGUCCUUGAUCCUAACAACCUCAAAAACCUCAUGUAUAUUUGUAUGUGUAUUGUAUUUGACCCAUUUAAACAAUUAAGGCAAACUAAAUUACAACCUCCUUCUUCUACUUCUUAUAUUUUUUUACUAUCAUAUUUGUCUUCCUUUUUUCUCUUAUUGUGUGCAACCCUAUUGUGCGCCCCAUGUGCUCCAUAAAAUCCCUUAGUUGACAAGCCUUGACAGUCUUCGACAUCACGCUACAAUAUCUUACAUUCACCCUCAACAAGCCUCUAUACAUAAUAGUAGUUGUCGAAAUAUGUUACCAUAAGUAUCGGUUUAUGUUGACAGAAAUUACUACGUGCCUACUAAGUGUUCUACGAAAUGACCAUGUAAAGCUAUUUUUGGUUUAUAUGAUGAUCAUAUUAUUUAAAAAUUAUGACUUCGCCAAUGAUACUUUGAUAAAAUCUCUUUCAUUUUCAUAUGAUGCAACACUUAGCACAUGCAAUAUCGGAUAGCGGUAUUGUUCUUAUCUUAGUCAAUUCAUAAGAUGCCUAUUAAAACCUGUACCAGACACAUCCGUUCCAACUGCAACUUUCCCAUCUUCAAUUCAUUAUGUACUCGAAUUAAAUUGCACUGUCAAUAUUGUUCACAAUUUUCUACUCUAAUUGCAGCCACAGACACACAGCCGCUUUCACACUCAUACUGAUCUUGCAACUUGCAUAUACUAUAUAGUUUACUCGACAAGAGAUUCUACUGUGUCAUCGAUUGCAUACAUUAGUGUCAGUGUUUUGAUCAGGAUCAUGUAAAAAAUUGUGUAUACUAUGUAGUUUUUUUCGAAAAAAAUUCUACUAUGUCACCGAGGGCAUACAUUAGCAUUGGUGUUUCUCAUCAGAUCAGGUAAUGAAGGUUUAUGGAAACACACUAGGCAAUGAUAAAGCACGCGUAAGAGGAGUUUGUCUUUACUUAAAGAAUGUUGAUAACAAAUCAAAUCACUUGCAUUAUAUUAGUUGCCCAUGUGAUUUUGAUCGAGUAUAUUUUUUAAUCCAACUUUUUCGUGUUUAAUAAAAUUCAUGAUUUCGAAAUGUUACUUUAAAUAGUUAAAAGUGUGUGAAUCUCAAAAUAUAAUUAACGACCCCAACUAAAAAAACUAGAAACUAUAUUACACGUCCAUUUUCUGUCUUUUGUAUUUCUUAUUUUUUGUUCAGAUUUAAUUUAGUUCUAAUUAAUGUUUUUCGUUCUAAGUAAAUAGAUAAUUAAUAAGAAAACAUGAAAGGAACUCUAUAGUUUGGCAGCCAUAGUUGGGAAGGAUUGGGCGGCGAGUACAUAGUCGAUGAAGUAAAUACAACCCAGGUGGUUGCAAGGUUUCUGGAAAACGACAUUUCUUUUGUAAAGUAGGUAUUUUGAUAACUAAUUCGAGUCGAAAGGAAAUGUAUUACGGAAGAAGACAUAUUUGAUGAAUGAAUGAUUCAAUCCCGGAUUUGGAUCCUCGUCGGAUCCUCUUCUUGGGAAUCCUAGGAAUCAACGCACGUGGACCGUUGAUUAAAAAUUGUGCAGCCACAAUUUUUUUCUUUUUUAAUUUUUCACGCAAAACGAGGCUACUUUACUUUUAAAAAUAUAAAAAGCAUUUAAUUGUGGCUAUACGAUUUUUGAUCAACGGUUCACUUGCGUUGGUCCCUAGGAUUCACAGAAAGAGGAUCCGACGAGGAUCCAAAUCCUUCAAUCCCCUCCCACCCACACGGUUCCUCUAUUGAAGAUGUUCCACACUUCCACUUCUUUUAUGUGAGGGGGGCGUUUUCCUUGAAUUUUACGUAAAUCUCUCUGAGAUAAAUAGUCUUUUUUUGGUGCCUUAUCUUGUCUUAUUGUUUUAAUGUAUCCGAACAACAAAGUUUACUAUUUGAAAUGAAACUAAGAUAGAGUUGGAUCUAACAUUGGAUACCAUCAUAUUAAAAUUAAGUAGUUGGAUUAGCCCCAUGAGGGCUACAAGCCUGCAUACUGCAACCCUACCCUGCAUAUGCAAAAUUUGCAAAUACGGUAUACGUAUGGCCAACUUAAUAACUCCACAACCCACAUGCUGCCGCGCUUAAUCAUCUAAUUAAUUAUACUUAAUCACAAACACACAACAACGCUGAAAGAAUUAAAGCAAUUUAACAACAAAAAUACAUAUGAAAAUUGAGAUGAGAGGAAACGUGGUCCUCCCUUUGAGAACAACCAAUACAAAAUUUAACGAGUUUACCACCGUGUCACGUUCUCGUCUAAUAAUGCAAUGUAACAACGUUGUACAUAAAAAAAUUACUUAAUAUUAUAUUAAAUGAGCAGAACAUUGCGGUAACAAUGAACACGUUGUAUGUCAAAUUGCAUCACCAACCAUCAUCAGCAUUGGCAUUGACUAGGAGGGUGGGGACAAGAAAAAUCCUCGAGUGAAAAGCAAAGGGUGACCCUACAAAGCUGAGGCUGAGGGGCUACAGGUAAACAGGAUUUAGGGUUUACAGACAUCUGCAAACGCAGCAUCGCACUUAUUUAAUUGGAACCGAAUUCCCUCCAGAUCCUUUAAAACCGAGCUAACUAAUCAAAGAAAUCGAAUCAUUAAAAUUUGAUUAAAAUGAUAUAAUUAUUAUAACUUUUAGAGAAACUUCUUAAUUGUAGUUUUUUGAUCAAAUUUUAAUGAUCUGGAUUCAUUGAUUAGUAGACUCAAAUUUGAAAGAUGGAUCCGGUUCCCAUUUAACCACAUGCAACGUGCUCACUGUGCACCUUGUCCACAUCAUCGCCAUCACAGAAACACAUGCACCUCGUCCACAUCAUCGCCAUCACUUCUUUCGUCCUCUUUGUCACCUUAUAUUUAUAACAUAAUUUUUAUGUUAAUAUUAUCAAAAUGUAAAAAAUAUAAUGUAACAAAGAAUACAUAAAAAAUCAAGUUAAAAUUUUCUUAUUAUAAUUGUAUAUCAAACCGUUUUCGACAUACUGAAAAAUCUAUUAUACCUUAAGAAUAAGUAGAGAUACUAUUGGAUCUUUCACUCACAGAUAAGUAAAUAUCCUAAACUGUGAAAAUAGGUGCACCAAAUGCUCUUAACAUUGAUUAGCUUAACAAUAAUUUCCCGGAAAACUCUCCUGCAAGAUCUGUUAGGUAAACGACCAACCUUGUGAUCCCCUGUUUUUAGAGCAAUCACAAACAACCAACAUAAUUUCUAUGUGGACCCAAAUCUCUCUUUUGUAUCCCCUCCACACUAGUGAACUUUUUUCCCGGGAAAAAAAUAAAAGCCUCUUGCUUUUGGCUUUUUGCUUUUGGGGAAAAACAAAUUGGUUUCGGAGAAAUAAAGAAACCGACUUUUUUCAGAAGCAAAAUGUGGGUUUAUGGAUGCAUUGCUUCAUAGUCAGCCGUACCACUUUUCUGCAAUUUCUCUUUAGAAUUUCGAUCAAAAUAGUUUGCUUUUUUGCCACCAAUUUCUCUGCCAUUUCUUUUUCACCCCAGAAAGUUUGGAUUUUUUUUUUAAAUAAUCGUGGGUGUUCGGUGGGAAGGAAAAGGUUGUGAAGCUGCUGCUGACUCGCAUGAAUUCAAGGUUCAAUUUUUUAAUCGGAAGAUUAAGGAUUUGGGGGUGUUUGAUUUGAUUAAUGGGUCUUACAGUUCAUACCUCGUCACCAAAACGCGUUGCGCCACCGCCUUGAUUUAUUUAUUGCGUGAUUUCUUUCUUCUGGUGUUGUCGUAGUCGUCGGCGUUGCUUAUUACUGUCGCAAUCGGAUCUGCUUUGGUUUCUCAGUCAGACAUUCUCUUUCCUGUCGCUUGGAAUCUUUGUUCAUCUGUUUGGUUGCCGAGAAAUUACGAACAAGAAAAGGUGAGAAAAAAUGUAGAAUAAAACGUAAAUUUCAGUUCUUUGUCUUCUGGGUUAGCUGAAUACAUGCUUAUUAGUGACGUUUUACUUCUGUUUUGUAUGAUUUCGGUUGCCAAAUGAUGGAAUAUCCAAGAUGUAACCUUUCCCGUUUUGUUUUACUUACAUAUGUCGGCAAGUGAGACAGCAUAUGGUUGUUGAUAUAACCAAUCUGUUGACGUUGUUCUUUGUUUUGUCUUAUGAUAAAUGCAGAUCAGUUGUUGAUUGUGAAAGAUUCGAUCUUUCGUUGUUAGGAUUGGACUUUGUGCUAUUUGUGCAAAGAAGUUCGUGGGUUUUGAGGUCAUUGAUUACGAAAAAUUGUAGGAUCUUUGUGGUGUUUUGCAUUAGUAUGCUAUUGAGGAAAAAAGAGUUAGAUAGUUUGAAGGUCUUGGGCCUCCGGCAAACACAGCGGUGAGGUAGUUAUGGCGUCCGGAGAUAGGCGUCAGCAUCAUAAUAUGGUGCCUCUGGCUGCAUUGAUCAGCAGAGAGCUGAAGAGUGAGAAGAUGGAGAAGCCAACUGUCAGAUAUGGGCAUGCAGCUCAAUCCAGGAAAGGGGAGGAUUAUUUCCUGAUCAAGACUGAUGGUCAGCGAGUACCCGGGAAUUCUUCAUCAGCAUUCACCGCAUUUGCGGUAAGCCCAAGUCUCUUAUAUUUGCUAGAUUAUAGAGCCAGAGCUUGGCAACUUAGCUCUGGUAUGUUGUUGUACCAUGGUGAAUGUCCCAAAAGUUGAAUACUACAUAUCAGUGCUCACCUCUAUGCUCUAAUCAUUUAGUUCCUUAGUCCCCUGUCUUGUUCACUGUAAAUUUUUGAUCCGGACUAUAUUAGUUUGUUCCCUUCCAACAUAGGCAGUGAACGAGAUAUUUUUCGAAAAUUUCAUGUACUAUUGGUUUUAGAUUAUGGAAUGAAUCCGUGUGCUCAAACCAAUUUCCUUUAGCUAUCAAAUAUGCUGCAAAUCAGGUAUAAUAGUCACUGUUCUUUUACUGAUUGUCAGAUCUUUGAUGGGCACAAUGGAAAUGCUGCAGCAGUAUAUACAAGGGAGAAUUUGUUAAAGCAUGUGUUGGGUGCUAUUCCCCGUGGGCUAGGAAGGGAGGAGUGGCUCCAAGCUUUACCUCGAGCCUUGGUUGCUGGGUUUGUGAAGACUGACAAGGAUUUCCAGAGCAGAGGUGUGGAAUUUGCAACUUGCUUAGUCUUUUUGUUCUUCUUUCUGUUUUUUCCUCAUAUUUUUCAGCACAUACGUACUAAUUCUUUCUACUCUUAUUAUUGUCGCCAGGUGAAACUUCUGGAACAACAGCUACCUUUGUAAUAGUUGAUGGAUGGACCGUGACAGUUGCAUCAGUAGGAGACUCCCGUUGUAUCUUAGAUACUCAGGGUGGUGCCGUUUCCACCUUAACUGUUGAUCACAGACUUGAAGAAAAUGUAGAGGAGUAUGUAUCUACUGAAAUCUAAUAACAUUCCUCUAUUUUUACUGUUCCCUGGAUUUGCUAAUUGAAUAUCUGAUUUGUAAUUGUAGGAGGGAGCGUGUUGCUGCAAGUGGUGGGGAAGUUGGGAGGUUGAGCAUUGUUGGUGGUGCAGAGGUGAGUGCUUUUAGAUCUUUUUUUCCCUGACGAAAAAAAAGAAAGGGAUACUUCUGUGGCUAUGUUUUAAUUAAAAUAUGGUUUUCAUUGUGUAAUAUGUGUUGCUUGACAUUUACAGAUUGGUCCCCUCCGUUGUUGGCCAGGGGGGUUAUGCCUUUCUAGGUCAAUUGGAGACAUGGAUGUUGGGGAGUUUAUAGUUCCAAUACCAUAUGUGAAACAAGUCAAGGUAUCUUCCUCUGCGUGGAAAUUAAAUUUUUAACUUGGUUUUAUUAAAUUCAAUGCCAAGUAUUGUUUAGCCUGAAAGCUAACAUUCUUAUAUUGUUUUAAAAGCUAUCAAAUGCCGGUGGGAGGCUUAUAAUUGCUUCGGAUGGCAUCUGGGAUGCUAUAUCUUCCGAAAUGGCAGCACAGUCUUGCCGUGGGUUGCCAGCUGAACUAGCUGCCAGACAAGUUGUGAAGGUUGUUUGAACUACUUGGCCUUUUUCUUGCAAUAUGCAUGUAUAAUCUCAAAGGCUGGAACUCUUUCUUAUUGAUGAUGGAUUGUGUUGUAGGAGGCAUUAAGGUCAAGGGGUCUAAAGGAUGAUACAACCUGCAUAGUUGUUGACAUAAUCCCUCCUGAUACUACGGUAGAGCCUUCACCUCCGCCAAAAAAGAUUAACAAGUUUAGGACCCUGUUUUUCAGAAAGAAAUCGUGUGCUUCUGCUAAUAAACUAUCCAAGAAGCUAUCGGCUGUGGGUAUUGUGGAGGAGUUAUUUGAAGAAGGGUCUGCUAUGCUUGCUGAAAGGUAGUUGAUUCUCUCUUCACUCAAGUUAGUUGAUUCGAUGCAAAGUUUCUUGAAGAGUUUCACUCCGGUUGUCUACUAAAAUUGGAAAAGAAAAUUUUCAACGAUGUCAUUAAUUUUAGUCUUGUAUAGCAUAUCGAAGUGGAGUUUCAUAUAUAGGUAUCAUAAACCUUAUUGUUGAGUUGCAAGUUCAAAUUGCGGGUUGGCUUCUUGUGAAAUGUGGUAUUUUGGUAUCGUUUAUUUGGUGUUGCACCUGGGAAUGAUUAUCAAUGUCAAAUGUGUUGCAGGUUGGGCAGCGAUGAGUGCACACCACAAUCAACAUCUGGGCUGUUCAUGUGUGCUGUAUGCCAAGUUGACCUUGCACCGAGCGAGGGCAUAUCGGUUCACGCGGGUUCUAUCUUCUCAACCAGUUCAAAGCCUUGGCAAGGGCCGUUCCUCUGUUCUGAUUGUCGUAACAAGAAGGAUGCCAUGGAAGGAAAACGCCCUAGCGGAGUCAGAGUAGCAUAGGUAGCUUGUGCAUUGUUUCGCCACCAUUCUUUUAACCCUUUAGUCCCUUUGUUUGGUAAUCCGUCUUCGUAGGCCAGCCAAUAUUGUUUGAAUCUUUACUUUAGUGAUACAUGAAAUGUAUAUGUAAAUUUGAUAAGUAAUUUGGAAUGAGUUGUAGAAGUUGAGGAAGGUCUUGUGCAAGGAAACCUCUUUCGAGUCUAUUUUGUCGGGGUAUUGGGCAAAACAAAAGUGUGUCGAACUCGAAUACAAUAAUCGUUACUAAAAGUAAAUUAACAAAUGAACGGAAGUGAUUUUCUGUUGAUUUGUUCAAUCCGAAGGCUAGAAAAACAGAGAAACACGAAGGCGCCCAGGAGGAGAAAGGAAAGUGCGAAAAUCACUUCUAUAUUGUAUAACUGAAUUUUCCAAGUUAGGUCUUGAUUCUAUAUUGUAUGGGAGACUUUGAAUCAAUAAUAUAUGCUGUGAAGAAAUAAUACAAGUAGGUUAUCCAAAAGCCUUGAGUUGCUAUUGCUAUUGUAUUGUAUUGUUAACACACAACAGAAUGGCUCUGUUUCUUUUCUCUGUUGUCGCUCAACCUUCAAAAGCAGGACACAUCCUCCUGAAUGCGGAUUGUUCACUGUUGAUUGUUCAGACCAGCUUCGUUCGAGGAUCCAACUGAAAGAGGGAGGAUACUGGCAUGAAUUCGAAGGCCCUCUAUGAUCUUCGAUUUUUAUCAAAAACACGGCUACAGGAGCACUAUGGAUGAAAUUCCUGCAAGGAUGAAGUUUUCGACGACUUGAACUGGAUGAAGAAAUUCAUUUUCAGAGUGUUAGGGACGAAGAAGACAAAGUAAGAGCGAGGAAGAUGAUCUUAGAGAGCUUGUGGUGCAUAUAAACUGAUCCUUCAAACCAGCCAGCGAUGAAAGAAGUAUAGAUAUGUUGGAAGGGAGUAUUGAUUCAUUGCAGAAACCAUCCAAGCCUCACUUGUCUUCUCCUCCAAAGAUCAUACGGUUUUAGGCUUUUAGCACCCAAAAAAAAGAAGAAAAAAAAAAGCAGAGGGUUUGAUUUAUCCCCCAAAAAAACCAUCUACAUUCUGCAGUCCACUCAGGAACAAGCAAAGAAACAAGACUUGGCAAGCAAGCAAUUAACAGAAUCACAGGGAUGACAAUGAAGCUAUGAUCAGUUUUAUCAUGUCAUGUGAGCAUAUAUUUCAUUUUAUAACAAGAUCAUUGGGGCCUAUCGCAAAUUCAUGUCCAAUCCAACCGUAUCUUAAAUUUAAUGUUGAAGCCUCGUUCGGUAUGGAGGAUAAGAUUGGAACGGAUAAUUCUCUAAUUUCAAGGAACUAUUAGGACAAAAAUGAAAAAAUUAUGUCCAACGAUGCGAAGGUUACCGUGUCAAGAUAAGUCAUGCCAAGCACGCAAAACGUCAGCAAAAUGCGUGCCAUGACAUGUCAUCGCAUGCCAACAAUGAUGUUUUGGCGCGCCACGAUGCGAGGGUUAGCGUGUCAAGACAAGUCAUGGCAUGCAUCUUUUAUUUCCACAGCUUUUUACCGGUAAAAACACGUUCCAUAUCUGAGCUGAGUAUUUACACAUGUUCUUACCGGUAAGAACACGUUCAAUACUGGAGAUGAAUAUUUACUUGUGUUUUUAUCGGUAAGAACAUAUUCAAUAUCUGAGUUGAAUAUUUACACAGCUUCUUACCGGUAAGAACACGUUCAUUAUCUAAGUUGAAUAUUUACGAAGGUUAUUACUAGUAAGAAUGCUUCAUUAUUUCCUAGUUCUUUACUUUUUUUUUAAUUAUUCCGAAAUAGUAGGCAAAAGUGCGGAACCCUAGUGCCUUUUCUAUUACUGUUCUUUCAAAACAUUUAUUUUCAAAUUGGUUUUCUUUAGAUUGUUUUCUAGUUGAAUUUUUAAAUUGUUUUUCUUAAAUUCGUUUAUAUUAUUAAGUCAUAAAAUUAAUCUUUUUCAAACCUUGUUUUAAAUAGUUAAUUAAGAAUUAGUUUAAAUACAAAUUAUUUAUUCAUUUUUUUAUGGAGAAUGAACUUGUUUAAGCCGUUUAUACUGUAAUUACCUUAUUCUCUUAAAAGUAUUUUUAUCUUUACUUUUGCAGGUGGUAAAAAUCCUAUCAGUUAUCCAAGUGCCUUGAGUUGCUAUUGCUAUUGUAUUGUUGUUAACACACAACAGAAGGGCUCUGUUUCUUUUCUCUGUUCUCGCUCACUCUGUGCCUCUGGCUCUUUACUCCGCCGAACAAGUAAUGAGAUGGCAAUAUCCGCUUCCCCUUCAAAAGCAGGACACAUCCUCCUGAAUGCGGAUUGUUCACUGUUGAUUAUUCUGACCAACUUCAUCCGAGUACCCAACUGAAAGAGGGAGGACACAUGCAUGAAUUUGAAGGCCCUCUAUCAUCUUCGAUUUUUAUCAUAAACACAGUUGCGGGAGCACUUUGGAAGAAAUUCCUGCAACAAUGAAGUUUUCGACAACUUGAAUUGGACGAAGAAAUUGGUCUGCAGAGUGUUAGGAACGAAGAAGACAAAGUAAGAACGAGGAAGAUAUAAACUGAUCCUUCAAACGGGCCAGCGAUGAAAGAAGUGACAGAUAUUGGAAGGGCUUGUUGAUUCGUUGCAGAUACCACCCAACCCUUACUUUUAUUCUCCUCCGAGAUCUCUCGCAUAUUCUUCUACCAUGCUGGUAUCAAUAAAGUAAAAACUAGAAACCUUGUGUUUUACUUGAACAAAUUAUGAGCAGCUCUAUAUUAUGCAUUUCAUUUUUCUUUUUUUCUUUAUUAGGAGCAAGAAAGAUCAGACGAUUUUAGCACCAAAAAGGAAAGAGCAGAGGGUUUGAUUUAUCCCAAAAAAAAAAAAAAAAAAAAAACCAUCUGCAUAUGAUUAGUUAAUCAUGACGUGUGAGCAAAUAUUUCAUUUUAUAACAAGAUAGGACCUAUGCAAAUUCAUGUCCAAACCAAUAUUAUCUUAAAUUUAAUAUUGAAGUCUUGUUUGGUACGAAGGAUAAGAUUGGAAUAGACAAUUAUCUAAUUUCAAGGCACUAUGGAGGAUAAGAUUGGAGUGGAUAAUUCUCUAAUUUCAAAUGAGAGGAUUAGGAGGGAUGAGUUUUUUUCAUACCUAAUCAUUUUCUAUUCCGUUUUAUGUAAAAAAAAAAUAUUAUUUAUACCUUCAGUAUGCCUUGAUAUUAGAAAAUUAUCCAUUAAAAUUCAAUCCUAAGUACUAAACAAGCCAAUCUCUAAAAUGAAGACAUUUUCUGCUCACAUUAUUGCUCAUUUGGCCAUUGACCAAGGAAUGAAAAGUACGCAAAUUUUGGUAUUUGCCGUGUAUCCCCGAUAUGUUUUAUGACCGAGGAAUGAAAAGUAUGCAAAUUUUCUACUCACAUUUUCUACUCACCUUCCAACAUCUCAACAUUAUUACUGUACUGUAAUUCGCUCUCAUCUCUCUCUCUCUCUCUCUCUCUCUCUCUCUCUCUAAAAUUUACAAUGAAUCAAAACCUCUGCAUCUUCAUUCUGAUCUUCCUUCUCUCAUCAGAAACCCCAGCAUUUGCUGUGGACUCUUACUACCAAAACUGCAGCGUCCCCACAACUUGUGGCAGACCCGAAAGCGAGACGGGCCGGACACGAAAGACCAAUCAUGUUUCACGACGCUACGGGUGAACACUGAACAGUCGAUCCUUUCCGUAAUGUGGUGGUUCAGAGGAGUUUCGAGGAUUUUUGAAUAGUAUCAUCGUGACGAGAAUGGUUGAAGAGUCAAGGGGUCAAAGUCUUUCUGGAGCUGGUCAUUGGGGAAGUUGGGAAGGAAACUUCCCUAAUAGGCCAUGGAAGUCUUUAAGCCAACCAAUCAAACAGUGUGUAUCAAUCAACUUUUUUACAUGGUUAGUUUCCACAAGUCUUCCGUCUCCUAAUUUCCAAGUCAACUGGCGUGUUAAACAGCCAAUUUCCUUAAUAUAUUGCAAACAAAGAAUUCUGAACCUCUAAACAAUUCAACACUCUUGUUCUGAAGAGGAGGAGUAGAUUUUCUUAUUGUUCUUCCUUUGCGGCGCUUUCUUCUUGUUGAUCAGCUCGGAAUCUUCGGAUGGCUCCGGUGGCUUUGUUUAUUCUCGCCGUUCUUGCUCACCUUGUGGUUUUGCACUCUGCUGGAUAUCCAGAAGAACAUUGUCAAGUCCACUUCUGCAGUAGCUCAGUAGGCAAUAUCAGCUUCCCCUUCAAAAGCACGGAAGAUCCUCGUGAAUGCGGAGUGUUCACAGUCAAUUGUUCAGACCCCGAACGGCCAAAAAUCCAAUUGAAAGAGGGAGGAUACUUGCAUGAAUUCCAAGGCUCUUUAUUUUCACCUUCGAUUUCUAUCAAUGACAGAGACCUUGCCGACCGCUUAGAAAAGGAUCGCUGCGAUGAUGGAGUUUUGGACGACUUGAGUCUUCCUAGCGCUUCUCCAAUCCUUGAAGUACCAUUAUUCACACACAAUCUGACCCUUUCAAAUGCAACAAAAAUUCUUACCUACAACGUAAUUAUGGCUGCAGAAAUGUUAACCAUACUUAUUAUACCGCUUCAUUUAGCAGUAGUUUACCUAACCCCCCUGCCGCCAGGGUGUGCAACCAUUCAGGUCCCCAUGCGUCCGUUUCAUCCCAACAAGUUCUCUUCAUUGACUGCUGAAUUUAACCUGUCAACACCAGAAUGUUUUCAAUGUAUUGAAAGCAAAGGUGAAUGCCGGGUUGAAGAGGGAGAAUUUAAAUGCGCCAAAGGUAUAUACAUUUACAUGACCUUUCUUUCUUUAUCUGACGUGCGAUAAUCCGAUUCCUUUCUUCAAAGGAUAUAACUCUUAGAAACAGGAAACAUUUUAUCGAAACACACAAGUAUUAAAUGAUUGUUAUGCAUGCAUUAACCUCCUUUUUUUUAAGGGCGGCUGCUGGCUGGAGGGUUGAAUAUAGCCACCUCUAAUCAAAUAUUAACGAAGAAGAUGGUCCGUGAAGUCAAUCUGAACCUCUACAUCAUCACGAUUUAACGUGAAAAAUAUCCUUCAUGAUUAUUUGUGAUAAAAACUAUUUGAAACUUAGUCACAUAAUCUUAUUGGUAGUGUGUGUAAUUCUGUAUUAAUCUAGUUGUCCUAACCAAAAUUUUAAAUUUGGUUUUUGAUUAUGAUAUGAGAUAAUGAUCAUUGUGCAGGACCUGGAACUGGAAACUUAGUCGCUAAAUUCGCAAUAGGUAAUUAUAACUUGCUUAGAUUAGUUUUUCUAAGUUUAUGUGUUGUAAUAAGGUUUAUAGCAUGUCCGCAAUGGCUACCAUUCGAUCGAAUAAAUCAUCGUAUUCACCGUAUAUUCAUCAGGUGCAGUUGCUGGUCUCAUAAUUCUAAUCGUUAUUGCUUGCUGCUUAAGAAGAAAGUUGUCAUCAUACAGAUUGCUUUUCUUUUGGAAGAAGCAAAACCAAAAUCGUCAAAUUGUAGAGGCCUUUCUAAGGAGCUACGGGCCGCUUCAAGUCCGAAGGUAUAGCUAUUUGGAGGUCAAGAACAUGACCAACUCCUUCAAAGAAAAAUUAGGACGUGGAGGCUAUGGUGCUGUUUACAAAGGAAAGUUAAAGGACGGCUGUCUUUUAGCAGUGAAGGUCUUGACCAAACUAACGGGAGAUGGAGAAGAAUUUAUGAAUGAAGUGGCAGCCAUUAGUAGAACUUCCCAUGUCAACGUCGUCUCCUUGUUAGGCUUUUGUUUUGAGGGUUCCAAAAGAGCUCUCAUCUAUGAAUUCAUGCCUAAUGGAUCCCUAGAGAAAUUCAUAUUUGAUUCAAAUACUCCCAAUAUAGGUCAUGAUCACUUGGGAUGGGAAGCAUUGGAUCAAAUUUCACUUGGCGUUGCUCGAGGCUUGGAGUAUUUACAUCGUGGUUGCAACACAAGAAUUUUGCAUUUCGACAUCAAGCCUCACAACAUUCUUCUCGAUGAAAACUUCGUGCCAAAAAUCUCAGAUUUUGGCCUUGCCAAAAUAUGCAACAAGAAAGAGAGUAUUGUCUCGAUGUUGGGCGCUAGAGGUACAGCAGGUUACAUUGCUCCAGAAGUAUUUUCUAGAAACUUUGGAAAGGUCUCACACAAGUCGGAUGUGUACAGCUAUGGAAUGAUGCUUUCGAAUAUGGUUGGGGGAAGUAGGAACACGGACGAUGAAGCUGAAAAUACAAGUGAAAUAUAUUUUCCACAUUGGAUUUACCAACGUCUUGAAUUGGGACGAAGAGCUUUGGUAUGCAGAGUAUUUACGAAUGAGGAAGACGAAGCAAGAGCAAGGAAGAUGAUGAUAGUGAGCUUGUGGUGCAUACAAACUGAUCCUUCAAACCGGCCAGCGAUGAAGGAAGUGAUAGAUAUGUUGGAAGGGAGUGUUGAUUCGUUGCAGAUACCUCCCAAACCUUACUUGUCUUAUCCUCCAAAAUCCCCAGUAGAUUCUUCUACAGCAUUGGUAUCAAUGAAGUAGAAACCCUGUAUUUUACUAGAACAAAUCUAUGUUUUUCUGAGGCAAUCUAAAUAAUGAAGCAUGCGUUUCAUGUUUGUUUUGUUUUUGUUUUUAUUUUUUCCUCUAUAUAUGAAUCAACACAGUAGGAGUGACCCUACUACUACCCCUCCUGCAAUCAUCUAUAAAUAUAUAUAUAUUACUAAUGUGAAACAUUUGCAUUUGUGGGUCAGACCAGUUGACCAAGUCAGUGUGCCCGUUUCAUCUCCCUUGCGCCCAAGUUCGGAUCCACUUCUCCAUAAAUCAAAGCAUUUUAGAAUAUUUUUGUCAAAAAAAAAGGUGAAAACAAUUAUUUCGUGUUAAAAGUUGUCUACCAUACAGCUAAAGCUAGGAUCCAACUUAUUGUGCGAAAUUUGAUGUUGUCACGAAUGGAAUGAUCGAGUAGAUGGAACAGUUCUUGCGAAGCCACGUGAAUGUAUUUUGACAAACAGUGAAGAGAAUUGGAGUCGUGUUGAAUUUCAAGAUUUUUGGAGUACCUUUGGCAAUGAGUGAAUAGGCAAGUACCCCAUUACUUGAAAAGUUGCUGUAUGGUGGUGCUUGAUGAAUUUUCAAGCGAAAAACGUAUUGCAUAUGAUCAACCUAAGCAAAACUAUCCAUGCACACUGUCAAUCAAGAUUUUUGGAGUACCUUUGGCAAUGAGUGAAUAGGCAAGUACCCCAUUACUUGAAAAGUUGCUGUAUGGUGGUGCUUGAUGAAUUUUCAAGCGAAAAACGUAUUGCAUAUGAUCAACCUAAGCAAAACUAUCCAUGCACACUGUCAAUACGAUUGACCAAAAAAAAAAAAAAAUUCAAAAAGUGAGUAGUUGAAAAUAAGCUCACUUUGAAGAGAGUCUCAAACUGAUGAAACUGCAAGUCGGUGAAAAACAUUUGAAAGAUAACAAAAUCAUGGUUACAAAAUGACGUACAUUCAAGAUAUAAACUUUUGCAAGUUGUAUAUUAUGCUUCCUUCAACCUCGCCCACCCUACACAUAAAAAGACAUUAAAAUUAAAGUCGUCUCCGAACUCUAAGUGCACUUGUAUUAUUCUGAGGGAUUAAACCAUUCAUUUCUACGAUCAGAUCCUACUUUAGAACAAAACAAUCAACGAUAUGGCUCCAAAGUAAAACGAAUUAACAAUCGAUUGAUGCUACUUUUGAUAACAUUUGGACAUGUGAACAUCAAAGUUAUAUCAACAAGCCACACACGGCUAUCAUGAGUUUUCAUGAAAUUUGUGUUUUGCUAGAAUUUUUGAAAUGCACAUGCCGUAUCAUUAACAAAGCAUAUUUUAAUGGAUCUGAUUAUCUCCUCUCCAUCACUCUUAUUCGAACGCUCAAGAAUAAUUCACACCAUCAUCUUGUUUUAUCUUCUCUGAAAAAAGAGAGAAAACCGAGAGACUAGAGAAGGGGAGGAAGAGGAGGAGAAAAGGAACGAGAGAGAAUCCAAUUUCAUUUUAAGGCACUUUGUCAAUAUCAUAUGUGAAAGUAGUAACCUUAAGCAAGAAAUGAUAGAUUGAUUUUAUUCUUACUUUUGAGACAAAUCUUUAGUAAAGUUGUUUGACUAAGACAACUCUUGAAUCAAUAUAAAAUUGGUUAAAAUUAAAAGGCCAAAUAGUCAAAAUGGUCUCUGAAACUUGCAUAAUCAAUAGAAAUAGUUAUUGAGAUUGAAAAUCAAUAGAAAUAGUCAUUGAGAUUGUCCACCAUCCAUGAUUUUGGUCAUUCUGUUAAAAACUCUUUGGACAAUUUUCAAGUUUUUGUAACUCAAUCGAUUCUUAAUUAAAUUCGACCCAUAAUAUAUCAAAAUGAAGAUAGGAAAAUGUAGAACAAGAUUAUACAUAUCUGAAAGCCCAAUGGUUGCCGGAGAUAGCCAGAAAAUAGCAUGAAAGGUGAAUGGUCCGCAGGAAAAUUGGAAAACUCGCUGGAAACCAGGUAAAUUUUAAAUGUUCAUAACUUCUUCAAUACUCAACGAAAUCGAGUGAUUCAAAAACGAAAAUCAUACUUCUUGACGAGACGAAGAGAAUAAUACCUUUCUCGAUGACUAAAUCACCAUGGUUUAGCCGGAAACGGUUCAAAAAUGAAUAACCAUUUUCGAGUUUAACUCAUCCGUGUAUCUUAUAACUUGUAGACAUCAUCUUUGUUAAACAAAUUAUUGUCAUGACUAUACAUAACUGUGCUCGUAUUAAUCAAGCGUGGCUGUUAUGGUCAAUCCACAAGAAUCGUAAAUUAUAAAUAAAUAACAUAUUUGAGUCGACGACUCAUUUAAUGGAACAUGUGAAACCCUAAAACUUGAACGAGCGAGCACGGAAGAUCGUUUGAUUUACAAGCCAAGAAUCACUCCUCUGGUAUGAUCUCGGAGCGGGCCCGAAUAAAUCUACCCACGUCCCCACGUGUCCGAGCCUCCUCCAUCAGGAAAUGCUAAUGUACGGCAGCACACAAAUACCAUUCCAUGGACCCCCAUCACACUCCCUCUAUUCCCCGAGUAUGAAAUCCAUCAGAUGAUAUGAAACGACAUAAAGUCCUCGCGUUACACGGCUUUAUACGUUACACUGUCACGCUGGCCCCCGGCAGUGAAAGGUCAUGGGCAUCCAUGUCAUUUUACGGUAAAUUACAUUGAAGCUCCUCUACUUCCCAAUAAUUACACCAACGGUCCACCAACCCUCAUUAAACUUAUAAGUUAUACCCAAGAGAUUUCAAUCGUCUCCCUCACUCACUCUCUCUGCUCUCACUUGCAGAGAGACCAUGGCAGCCACGGCCGCCGUGGCCACUCUUCUCCUCACGAGCUUCUUCUUCGCUGCUCUCCACGUCUCUUCGAAUCCAGAUACCAAACCUCUCCUAUCAUUCAAAGCAACGUCGGACGCAUCCAACAAGCUCACCACGUGGAACUCCACCUCCGUUGACCCGUGCACCUGGACCGGCGUCUCCUGCACCAACAACCGAGUCUCCCGACUUGUUCUCGAGAACCUCGACCUCCGCGGCUCGUUCCAGCCACUCACCGCGCUAACUCAGCUCCGAGUUCUGAGCCUCAAGCGUAACCGCCUAUCCGGCCCCAUUCCGGACCUCUCCAACUUCACCGCCCUCAAACUCUUAUUCCUCUCCUACAACGAACUCUCCGGCGACUUUCCAGCCUCCGUGUCCUCUCUCUUCCGCCUCUACCGCCUCGAUCUGUCCUACAACAACCUAUCCGGCAAGAUUCCCGCAACGGUCAACCAUUUGAAUCAUCUUCUCACUCUCCGGCUCGAGGCGAACCGUUUCUCCGGUUCGAUUUCGGGUCUGACCCUGCCGAAUCUGCAGGACCUCAAUGUGUCUGCGAACCGUUUGACCGGCGAAAUACCCAAGUCCUUUUCGACUUUCCCUAUAACUGCUUUCGCUCAAAACCCGGGUCUAUGCGGGUCUCCGAUGCAGAGCUGCAAGGGUACACCAAACGACCCGACCCGGCCUGGAUCUGACGGAGCCAUUGCGUCUCCUGUAAUGCCUGCUGCUAACCCAACCGUCGUAGCGUCGUCGCCGAGUUCGUUACCCGGGAACUCAGCGCUGAACAAAUCGGGAAAUCCUCACCGAAGUGGUAGCGCGAAAAUGAGUCCGGAGGCUCUAAUCGCCAUUAUAGUUGGCGACGCUUUGGUUCUCGUGCUGGUUUCGCUGCUACUGUACUGCUACUUCUGGCGGAAUUUCAGCGCCAAAAUGCGGCAGGGCAAGGGGGGCUCGAAGCUUCUAGAAACUGAGAAGAUCGUGUACUCGUCGAGCCCCUACUCCGCCGCCCAACCAGUGUUCGAGCGGGGUCGGAUGGUGUUCUUCGAAGCAGUAAAAGCGUUUCGAGCUCGAGGACUUGCCUCAGGGCCUCGGCGGAGAUGCUGGGGAAAGGCGGGUUCGGGACGGCGCGUACAAGGCGGUUCUCGACGAUGGCAACGUGGUGGCGGUUAAAGAGGCUCAAGGAUGCUCAGAUUGGCGGGAAGACUCAGUUCGAGCAGCACAUGGCGGUGCUGGGGCGGCUCAGCCAUCCCAACAUUGUGAGCUUGAGGGCUUAUUACUUCGCCAGGGAGGAGAAAUUGUUGGUAUACGAUUACAUGCCCAAUGGCAGCCUGUUCUGGGUUCUCCACGGUAAUUUUAUUUCAGUUUUCCUGCUUAAUUUCUGUUUGGUAGCCAAGAAAUUUUUUCUUUUUCAAAUAUUAGUUUAAUUCUGGGUUUCAAUUUGGUGCCUUGUUUUCUGUACGUUUAGGUCAAACGGGGUCAAAUUUAGGGUCUUUUUUGUAAUUAUAUAUUUAGGGUUUUACUGUCGGUCCUGUCAACUCCAGUUCCGUCUUUAUCUUCCUUUUACUUUUGUCUUUGUUUUUUGCUCCCUUCUUUUCCUUCUUUCCUGCUCUGAAUAUGACCAAAAAGCGCCUAACUCCGCUGCACUCCACGCUUUUACGUAAUUGUCCUUAGUUGUAAUUAUCGUGAACUAACGAGGGCUAACUUCAACAGGAAACCGUGGACCCGGUCGGACUCCGCUGGACUGGACAACGAGGCUGAAAAUCGCAGCCGGAGCCGCUCGAGGCUUGGCCUGCAUUCACGACUCAUGCGGGCCGCUUAAGCUCACCCACGGUAACAUCAAGUCCACCAACAUCCUCUUAGACAACACUGGCAACGCCAGAGUCUCCGACUUCGGACUCUCCGUUUUCGUGCCUCCUCCGCCCUCCACGUCGUCCGCUCCGCGAUCUUGCGGUUACCGCGCUCCCGAGACGUUGGACGGUCGGAAAUUGACGCAGAAAUCAGACGUGUACGCUUUUGGUGUUCUGCUGCUGGAGCUGCUCACGGGGAAGUGUCCCUCUGUGGUGGAUAAUGGCGGGUCCGGGGGAGGAUUCGGUGGGCUUGUGGACCUGCCCAGGUGGGUCCAGUCUGUGGUCAGGGAAGAAUGGACGGUGGAGGUGUUUGACUUGGAGCUGAUGAGGUACAAGGAUAUUGAGGAGGAGAUGGUGGGGCUUUUGCAGAUUGCAAUGGCUUGUACGGCCGCUUCGCCUGAUCAACGUCCCAGGAUGAGCCAGGUGGUGAAAAUGAUUGACGAGAUUCGGGGCCUGUCUGGUUCGCCGAGUCACGAGACCGGCUUUGAAUCCAUGUCCGAGUCGUCGGCCUUGUCGGAGGACACUUGCGGAGCAAGUCAGUGAUCGCACCAGCAACCAUUUUUAACGUUCUUGUGUUGUAAAUCUACGGGUUUUGUUUUGUUGGCUUCAGUUCCCUUGCCUUCUUAUUUAAUCUCAAAUUUUCGUUUAUGCUAAUUUAAUUACAUCGAUUGCAACGAUUUUAUAGAGCUUAAAUCGGAAUCGUUUAAUUAAAUUGAUUUAGGAUUUAGAUUUAACAAAAAGGAAAUGUAACAAUCUGAAUCUAUGUGCUGAAAUACAUGAUCUGCGUUGCAAGUCUCAGCAGUUUAUCCAAAGUAUCAGGCAUGAACUUUCUGGCGAAUAAGAAACAAACAUCCGUGCUCCUCCCAUUGUAUUCACAUUUCCGACCAUAACCACUCCUCAGGCUACUCAGAAGCGCCGCCGUCAGGUUUGGGCUCCUGUACUCCGUCGGGUGUGGGCCGCCCUUGCUCCAGUCAACCCAGGUCAAAGUCCUAUUUGCAUUCCUUGCUGCAAAUUUCAAGUGCACAAAUGUUGGCAAAUAAUGUUCAUCCGGAAAGCAAUAGCCUUUGCACUUGAGGAAUUCCGGGAAGUAUUUUCGAUCCGAGAUGGAUUCAAUGGCAACCUCUCUAUCAAUUGCAAACCACGCCCACCCUUUUCUCCAUUGAUCUACCGUGAUUCUCGUGUAGUUGCUGAGAUAGUACCGGCCACGUCCAACCGAACUUGGGUCAUCGAAGACCUCUACGAAAGUUCGGGUUGAGUUGAUGAGGUAGGAGUAGACAGUGGAAAAGUUGUAGAGGGGAAUGCAUGUCUCUGAGAGGAGAACAAAAUGUUGGUUUGAGAUGUUGAGAAGAGCAUUCGCCAAUAGGCGGCGCAGCCUCAAUCAAGCUCGCCUUCCCCCAUUCCACUUCCUGCAAAACAUGUUGUAGGACUGAACAUUGUAACAAGAUCAAGUCAAGCAAAAAACUUAUCACCUGACUAGGAAUUCUUCGCUCAUGAAACACCGGACUUUCAGGAUGCGAUGCUGCCUCGUAGGAUGGACUUGAGUGCACAUAAAUUGAGUACAAGCCUUGAUGCCCUUUGAAGAAAUUUUCCCAUAACAGGGCCAAAUGAACAGGUCCCUUUGUCAAGAACAUGAAAGCAACCUUGGGAACAAGAUGGAUUGGAUACUCGAGAAUCCGAGGGCUCAUCGAAGCUCUCCAUAGCAAUUCCGAGACGUUCAUGUCAUGAAACACCUUUGGCGGCCUCAGAUAUUUCUUUAAAUAUCCUCCUGUUAUGUUAGGUUGGGUUGCACAUAUUUUGCUCAUAUUGUUAGAUCGUAUUUGGGAUGCAAAGGUUUGGCUCGUAUUAGAAUUGGAUGCUGUGGGGGGCUGCCGUUACAUUUUCCAGUUUCGGAGUUGAAUUUUGUACUGCCGAAGUUACACCAGGCAUUAGCAUUUGUGAAGGAAUAUUGGAUGGAAGAGAUGAUGAGAUAGCUGAGAUGGGUAGGCUGGCUAACUGAGGAUUCAAUGGGUAGUAUUCUUUGAGAUUGCUAGGUACAACCCCGAGGGUAAAACCACCAACAAAGAGCAGGACAUCCGAGACUUUUGUAAACAAGCUGGUAGGGUUUCGAUCUUGACGAGCCAUCAUUUUGGAGAAUCACAAGAGAGACGAGAUUUGGUGUGAAGAGAUCUCCCUUAAUAUAGUUGUAGCUGCGCAUCUUUGUAUUGCGAUCAACCUUUCUGCAACGGGGAAAGGAGUGUUUCAGUUAAUUUUUUCGUUUCAAGGAAAAUGGAUUUGUUUGCGGUACAUUUACAGAGACGAAAAUUUCAUUUCACCGUUAAUUUUACUUUAAUCUGAAUUUUGUUUCUUGCAAGGUUGCUUCAUUUCACAGACCAAACACAAAUAAGAUUGAUUACCAAUAAUAUAUUUUAGUUAGAGGGCUUAUUGUUUGUUGUUAGUUUACGAUUACAUCGCCUAAUUGAUAAAUUCUGGUGAGUUAGUUUUGGUUCCUGGAGGCAGACAAGAAAAAAUGAAAGCAGAGAACACAGAAAAUCGGGAGGAAUGUGAAAGGUUUCUUAUCUGUGAAGUAAUCACAGAUAUUUCAAUAAAUAUCAACUUAGGAUAUUUCCUUACAAGCUAAUCUAGAGCAAUCUCAGCCCUUGAUUCAAAACAAAGAUCUAAAGCAUACACUUGUCUUAUGAGACUAGACAUACACUUUUCUAUUGAUUUCUUUCUUCUUAAACACUUGAACAAAACUGAAUUCUAUUUAAUUCCAACACUCCCCUUUAAAUGAAUUCUGGUUUUGAUCCCAAGCAUUCCUCUGAGAUAGACAAACCUUUCCCUCGGUAGAGCUUUGGUGAAGAUGUCGGCCAUUUGAUCCUGUGAUUUGCAGUAGAUCAGUUCAAUGGUAUUCUCCUGCAAGGCUUCCCUUAUGAAGUGAAACUUCCUUUUGAUAUGCUUGGUUUUCUGAUGAAAAUAGGAUUCUUGGUCAUAUGCUAUUGCUGUUGAUGGUUGUCACACAUAAGUGGUGAAGCAUCACUUGCAUUUCACCAAAAUCCUUUAACACAAACCUCAACCAUAUAUGCUUGGGAGGUAGCCAUUGCAGCACUCACAUACUCUGCUUCAGCCGUAGACAAUGCAACACUUUGUUGCUUGACAGAAGCCCAAGAAAAUAUCCCUGAACCGAAUGUAAAUGCAUAUCCUGAGGUACUUCUCAUGUCAUCUUCACUGCCACCCCAAUCACUGUCACAGAAGCCUACC